rnacentral:rRNA from 1 species
UAAGGAAUAUUGCUCAAUGGGAGAAAUCCUGAAGCAGCAACGCCGCGUGGAGGAUGAAGGGUCUAUGACUUGUAAACUCCUGUAAAGAAGGAAAAAAUUCCCAUUAGAUGGGAGAUGAUGGUACUUCUGGAGUAAGCCCCGGCUAACUACGUGCCAGCAGCCGCGGUAAUACGUAGGGGGCAAGCGUUGUCCGGAUUUACUGGGUGUAAAGGGUGCUCAGGCGGAUUUGUAAGUCAGAGGUGAAAUCUUACAGCUUAACUGUGAAACUGCCUUUGAUACUGCAAGCCUAGAGUAUGGAAGAGAGUGAUAGAAUAUCUGGUGUAGCAGUGAAAUGCGUAGAUAUCAGAUAGAACACCAAUGGCGAAGGCAGUCACUUGGUCCAUUACUGACGCUAAAGUACGAAAGCGUGGGUAGCAAACA